UGAAGAGGUGGGGUGAUAAACACAGGAAGUAAUGCUACAGGAGACACACAAGGAAAGCUGGUAACCAAAAUUGAGAAGGACAAGAGAAUCCAACAGAGAAAAGAAUAGACAGAAGAACAAGAGAGAGCCAAGGAAUCAGAACUUAAACACUAUCAAGGUUGGCAGAGUCUGUUUUGAAGCCUGAAGCUGAGACCGUUUUUAAACUGCAUUAUUUUUUAACUACAGACGACUGCUUUUUGACUCCCGUAAGGACCAUAAUUUACCAUAAAGACUCACCAAACAAAAAAACUAAACCUGAAGGAGACACAAUUGCGGUAUCUGUCUUCGGUUUGCUUCAAGGUUGGAAAUAUUUCCCGGAUUGCUUCUGUCAGGGCCUCCAUGCCUCCACUGCUGCCCGUCUUUGUCCUCUUUUCCCCGUUUUCUCCUUGCCCAUUUCUGUGUGGUGGUAUUUGUUCAGUUCUCAUUCUAAGAAAGGAGGACCCUGCAAUUUUUGUCAGUGCCACUGGUAUCGGUAAGCACAGGAUUACCUCCUGAAGGAGAAUGUCUGGCCAUCAGUUCAAGCUCAUUUGGGUUAUGCAGCAGGACAACAAAAAUGUAAAAACUGAAUUUUGGUUUUUUUUCGGGUUAUCUUUGUCAAAUAUUAAAAUUGUUUCAUGAUCUGAAGUGUGGCAAAUACUUAAAAGGAAGAAAAAAAUCAGGAAGGGGACAAAUACUUUUUCACAGCACGGUAUGUUGUGCAAGUAACAACAUAAUUGUUUAAUUAGUAACUGCAAUGUAAUGUAGUACCAUAUCCAUUACAUCACUGCAUUAUAGACAAAUGUAAUGUAUACUGGCCAUGAUGUACCAAUUUAUUAGUGAGACAGUGCUGUUAUUUCCUUCUUGUCAUUUUCAGAAGUGCGGCGUCACUGUUGUGAAGCAGUUUUUAAUGUCUCACUUGCACUUGCUGCUAGGAUUGAAAGACAUUAAAGCACAAACCAUGGUCUCCUGCCUGAUGAACCAGCAGCUUAGGUUCAAGCUUUUUCACAACAGGGUGUAUCGAGGUUUGGCGAGAUUUGGGGUCUAGGUUCAUGUGGACUCCUGGGUGUUGCUGGUCUCAGUCAUCUAAUCAUCAAGCCACAGUACUUAUACCCCAGUACUGUAACAUUGAGCCCAUCUCCAGGUGUUUUACAAAGAUUUCCUCGGUGUGCUUGAUCCUCUUGUGUACCAUCCUGCUCUGUUUGCUCCAGUCUGAUUCACCAGCUCAAGGCCUGAACAUCAUUCAGACGACUAAAUAUUUUGA